UACGGAGGAGGCAAGCGUUAUCCGGAAUUAUUGGGCGUAAAGCGUCCGUAGAUGGUUUUGUCAGUCUGCUGUCAAAGCACAGGGCUUAACCCUGUAAAGGCAGUGGAAACUACAAGACUAGAGUGCAGUAGGGGCAGAGGGAAUUCCCAGUGUAGCGGUGAAAUGCGUAGAGAUCGGGAAGAACAUCGGUGGCGAAAGCGCUCUACUGGACCGCAACUGACACUCAGGGACGAAAGCUAGGGGAGCGAAUGGG
rnacentral:rRNA from 1 species